ACGUAGGUGGCAAGCGUUGUCCGGAAUUAUUGGGCGUAAAGCGCGCGCAGGUGGGAUCUUAAGUCCAUUUUGAAAGUUCGGAGCUCAACUCCGUGAUGGGAUGGAAAGUGGGAUUCUUGAGUAUCAGAGAGGAAAGCGGAAUUCCCCGUGUAGCGGUGAAAUGCUGAGAUUUCACGAAGAAGUCCGAUUGCGAAGGCAGCUUACUGGAUUGUAACUGACGCUGAUGCUCGAAAGUGUGGGUAUCUAACAG
rnacentral:rRNA from 1 species